CUCUGGUUCUCAGUUUAUUUUGGAGAGAAAAGAGCGAAACGAAGGAGAAAGAAAGAGGAGGGGGUUCGAUCUAUAUAUGCAAUUGACGCGAAGCUCAUUGAUUGUUCUCCGGAGUAGAUUGAUUAUUAUUGUUGAAGAUCGCACAUCACCGAUUCGGCAUAAGAUCGAAAUCGAAUCGACUUUCUUAUUAUGAGAUUCAAUCUCCAAUAACUUUCUCGACUGAAGAGAUGAAGGGAGCAAAACCGAGAAGAGAUGGAGAAGAGAGAGGGUUCGAAUGAGCAAAACCGCAGGAGAAGGGUUUCAAUCUCUCUUGAUAUUGCAUUCUCCACCCAAUGUUUUCUUUGAAUUCGAAGGUGUAAUUAGAUAAUGAUGAUUGAAGGCCAUUGGGCCCAAUGGAUCUUCAUAAGGUAAUAUUAAUUAAGCUCAAUUGUAUUGUUGCAGCUUGGGGACUACUCAACUACUGUCUAUUUGAAUUUUAGGGCAUUCUUUGGGAAAAGUCUGAUGUAACAAGGGAAAGCUACAAAUUACAAGAAUUAUCAGAACAUCACCUUAUGAGGCGAACUACAAGAUAAAGAAUGCAAACAAAUGGAAAGGGGUAGUACUAUGAGUUAUUCCAAAAUACCAGAUUGGGGAAUCCCAUAAUUCUCGAUUUUUAGGUUUGUGCUGUGUU